GUGUAGCUAUGGUGUUGGCUCGGCUCACUCAGAAGCAGAAGGACCCAUGGAUCUAGCUAGCCUGCAGUGCUAGCUUCUGGCGUUUCUGAUUGAGCCGUGCCAAUAUCUUAGUACCCUUU
rnacentral:pre_miRNA from 1 species